GAUGAACGCUGGCGGCGUGCCUAAUACAUGCAAGUCGAGCGAACAGACGAGGAGCUUGCUCCUCUGACGUUAGCGGCGGACGGGUGAGUAACACGUGGAUAACCUACCUAUAAGACUGGGAUAACUUCGGGAAACCGGAGCUAAUACCGGAUAAUAUAUUGAACCGCAUGGUUCAAUAGUGAAAGAAGGUUUUGCUGUCACUUAUAGAUGGAUCCGCGCCGCAUUAGCUAGUUGGUAAGGUAACGGCUUACCAAGGCGACGAUGCGUACCCGACCUGAGAGGGAGAACGGCCACACUGGAACAGAGACACGGUCCAGACUCCUACGGGAGGCAGCAGUAGGGAAUCUUCCGCAAUGGGCGAAAGCUUGACGGAGCAACGCCGCGGGAGGGAUGAAGGUCUUCGGAUCGUAAAACUCUGUUAUUAGGGAAGAACAAAUGUGUAAGUAACUAUGCACGUCUUGACGGUACCUAAUCAGAAAGCCACGGCUAACUACGUG
rnacentral:rRNA from 1 species